CUCUUGUCUUGGCUUCCCAAAGUGCAGGGAUUAUAGGUGUGAGCCACCAUACCCGGACUUUUUUUUUUGCGCUCCUCAUUUCCCAGACGGUUGGUGGCCAGGCAGAGGCGCUCCUCACUUCCUAGUCAGUUGGGUGGCCGGGGAAAGGUGCUGUCUUCUUUUUUAUGGCGGAGGAAACCAAAGCCCAGAGAAGGGAAGAGAUUUGUUGGCAAGUGGAAGAAUCUGGACUAGAGCCUGGAUUUUCCAAUUCCAGUCUCAGGCUGAUCCUUCUGGGCCUGAAGAACCAUCUUUGAAAGCUGAGGCCAGGAGGGAGUUGCUGGGAGCAGGAAGCUGAAGCAGAGGCAGAGGAGACCUCUACUACGGAAACUCAAGAGGAAAACCACAACAGCAGGAAGUCCAAGUGGGCCUGGUCAGGCCAACCUAGGAAUUCCAUGAUGUAAUUUCUCUUCUCCAAUUGAGAGAAUACAAGUAUGGCCAGGGCUCAGCACCCAGUGUAUUAAGGACUCCUAACUUGGGGUUCAUGAUAACUCAUAAAACAUAUGGCAAAAUAUACAUUUUAAAGGUGGUCAGAAAAGCUGGGCCAUUGAUCUUUACUCACCAGGAGUCAUGUAGCACUUACCAUUGCCAGAAUAUUCUCUUACAAAUCUAUUCCAAAGCUACACCUUCAUGGCUCUCCCAAAACAAAGCUGCAAAAAGACUUUCAGAGGAGAGAUCAGAAACAGAGCAAGGCCUUCUAGUAAGACAUUCUAUUUAUUUUGACUUGCUAUUACCUCUGUCUACUUACAGGAUUCCAAAGGAGCAAAGCUAAGUUUAACAUUAAAACUCAGUGUUAAUGGAGUAGGGAGUAGGGAGUAGGGAGAAUCUCAAACCAGAAAAAAAUCUGCAAGUCAACUCUGCAAAACCUGUCAAGAGGCUCUCAGUCCCAUAUUGAACUUGAGUUGGAAGAGGCAAGUCCGGUCUCCAAAUGGAGGUAAAACCGCCACCUGUUGACCCCAGCCUGGCUCUAGCCGUCGCUGCUGGAGGGAGGAGGGCCACGAUCCAAACGAACCAGAGCAGUUGAGAAAACUGUUUAUUGGUGGUCUGAGCUUUGAAACUACAGAUGAUAGUUUCAGAGAACAUUUUGAGAAAUGGGGCACACUCACGGACUGUGUGGUAAUGAGAGACCCCCAAACAAAACAUUCCAGGGGCUUUGGUUCUGUGACUUGUUCUUGUGUUGAAGAGGUGGAUGCAGCAAUGUGUGCUCAACCACACAAGGUUGAUGGGCGUGUAGUCAAACCAGAGAGAGCUGUUUCCAGAGAGGAUUCUGUAAAGCCUGGCGCCCGUCUAACAGUGAAGAACAUUUUUGUUGGUGGUGUUAAAGAAGACACAGAAGAAUAUAAUUUGAGAGAACUACUUCGGAAAGUAUGGCAAGAUUAACCACAGAAGUUAUGGAAGAUGGGCAGAGUGGAAAAAAGAGAGGAUUUGCUUUUGCAACUUUUGAUGAUCAUGAUACAGUUGAUAAAAUUGUUGUUCAGAAAUACCACACUAUUAAUGGGCAUAAUUGUGAAGUGCAAAAGGCCCUUUCUAAACAAGAGAUGCAGUCUGCUGGAUCACAGGGAGGUCGUGGAGGUGGAUCUGGCAAUUUUAUUGUGGAGGAAACUUUGGAGGUGGUGGAGGUAAUUUUGGCCAUGGUGGAAACUGUGAUGGAAGAGGAGGCUAUGGUGGUGGAGGUGGUGGCAGCAGAGGUAGUUAUGGAGGAGGUGAUGGUAGAUAUAAUGGAUCUGGAGGUGAUGGUGGCAACUAUGGCGGUGGUCCUGGUUAUAGUAGUAGAGGGGGCUAUGGUCAUGAUGGACCAGGAUGUGGAAACCAAGGUGGUGGAUAUGGUGGCGGUGGUGGAGGAUAUGAUGGGUACAAUGAAGGAGGAAAUUUUGGCGGUGGUAACUAUGGUGGUGGUGGGAACUAUAAUGAUUUUGGAAAUUACAGUGGACAACAGCAAUCAAAUUAUGGACCCAUGAAAGGGGGCAGUUUUGGUGGAAGAAGCUUGGGCAUUCCCUAUGGUGGUGGUUAUGGAUCUGGUGGUGGAAGUGGUGGAUAUGGCAGCAGAAGGUUCUAAAAACAGCAGAAAAGGGCUACAGCUCUUAGCAGGAGAUAGAGCAAGGAGUUGUCAGGAAAGCUGCAGGUUACUUUGAGACAGUCACACCAAAUGCAUUAGAGGAACUGUAAAAAUCUGCCACAGAAGGAACGAUGAUCCAUAGUCAGAAAAGUUACUGCAGCUUAAACAGGAAACCCUUCUUGUUCAGGAGUAUCAUAGCCACAGUUUGCACAAAGUGCAGCUAUUGAUUAAUGCAAUGUAGUGUCAGUUAGAUGUACAUUCCUGAGGUCUUUCAUCUGUUGUAGCUUUGUCUUUUUCUUUUCAUUACAUCAGGUAUAUUGCCCUGUAAAUUGUGGUAGUGGUACCAGGAAUAAAAUAUUAAGGAAUUUUUAACUUAAAAAAACAA